GGAACCUAAGAGCUCUUCAUUCCCUGUGUCACUGGUCGUUGGGCUGGUUUGUGGAAUCACACUUAUUAUUCUCCUGCUCCUGUUGUAUCACUACAGACAGGAUUUGUGCUGUAUCAGGCUGAUUCAGUCAAAGAGGAGCAGUCGGAGCUCCACUGCUAAUCACAGAGUCAACCAGAAUGAAACUCUACGUAAUCAGUACUCUUGUGUC